CCAUCCAAUAUCUGACUGA
rnacentral:misc_RNA from 1 species